UACGAAGGGGGCUAGCGUUGCUCGGAAUCACUGGGCGUAAAGGGUGCGUAGGCGGGUCUUUAAGUCAGGGGUGAAAUCCUGGAGCUCAACUCCAGAACUGCCUUUGAUACUGAGGAUCUUGAGUUCGGGAGAGGUGAGUGGAACUGCGAGUGUAGAGGUGAAAUGCGCAGAUAUCUGGAGGAACACCGGUGGCGAAGGCGGCAUCCUGGGACCGGCAUUGACGCUGAGGCGCGAAAGCCAGGGGAG
rnacentral:rRNA from 1 species